UGACCUGCGGAAGGACAUUAU
rnacentral:rRNA from 1 species